AGUGAACGCUGGCGGUAGGCCUAACACAUGCAAGUCGAACGGCAGCACAGUAAGAGCUUGCUCUUACGGGUGGCGAGUGGCGGACGGGUGAGGAAUACAUCGGAAUCUACUUUUUCGUGGGGGAUAACGUAGGGAAACUUACGCUAAUACCGCAUACGACCUACGGGUGAAAGCAGGGGAUCUUCGGACCUUGCGCGAUUGAAUGAGCCGAUGUCGGAUUAGCUAGUUGGCGGGGUAAAGGCCCACCAAGGCGACGAUCCGUAGCUGGUCUGAGAGGAUGAUCAGCCAAACGGGAAAUGAGACACGGUCCAGACUCCUACGGGAGGCAGCAGGGGGGAAUAUUGGACAAGGGGCGCAAGCCUGAUCCAGCCAGACCGCGGGGGUGAAGAAGGCCUUCGGGUUGUAAAGCCCUUUUGUUGGGAAAGAAAAGCAGCAGGUUAAUACCCCGCUGUUCUGACGGUACCCAAAGAAUAAGCACCGGCUAACUGCGU
rnacentral:rRNA from 1 species